CAAAAUAUAGCUUAAUUAAAGCAUCUCGCUUACACCGAGAAUAUAUCUGUGACACCCGGAUUAUUUUGA
rnacentral:tRNA from 1 species